GGGUGAGUAAUACAUCGGAACGUGUCCGAUUGUGGGGGACAACCGUCCGAAAGGAUGGCUAAUACCGCAUAAGACCUGAGGGUGAAAGCCGGGGACCGCAAGGCCCGGCGCAGACGGAGCGGCCGAUGAUUGAUUAGCUAGUUGGGGAGGUAAAGGCUCACCAAGGCGACGAUCAAUAGCUGGUCUGAGAGGACGACCAGCCACACUGGAACUGAGACACGGUCCAGACUCCUACGGGAGGCAGCAGUGGGGAAUUUUGGACAAUGGGGGCAACCCUGAUCCAGCCAUGCCGCGUGCGGGAAGAAGGCCUUCGGGUUGUAAACCGCUUUUGUCAGGGACGAAAAGCUCCGGAGUAAUAUGCCGGAGUGCUGACGGUACCUGAAGAAUAAGCACCGGCUAACUACGUGCCAGCAGCCGCGGUAAUACGUAGGGUGCAAGCGUUAAUCGGAAUUACUGGGCGUAAAGCGUGCGCAGGCGGUUGGGUAAGACAGAUGUGAAAUCCCCGGGCUUAACCUGGGAACUGCAUUUGUGACUGUCCGACUGGAGUACGUCAGAGGGGGGUGGAAUUCCACGUGUAGCAGUGAAAUGCGUAGAUAUGUGGAAGAACACCGAUGGCGAAGGCAGCCCCCUGGGGCGCAACUGACGCUCAUGCACGAAAGCGUGGGGAGCAAACAGGAUUAGAUACCCUGGUAGUCCACGCCCUAAACGAUGUCUGCUGGUUGUUGGGAAUUU
rnacentral:rRNA from 1 species